rnacentral:lncRNA from 1 species
CUAUCCACCAUACAAAGAAUUAUGACCCAGUUCACGAUCCCUAUGGCUUCCACUACAUGUGCCCAGUCUUUAGGCAUUGUUUCAGGCUUUUACUCUGAAAAAUGAGGGAGAAACACCACUUUCAAUGAGAGGACAGUGGAAAUUUCCAGACAUGAGUCCUUCGCGUGACCGGGAGCGUGCCUUUCCUCUUUUUCCUUUUCUAUUGACAAAGCUAUUGUCCGGUUGAAAAGUGAUCGAUUAUAUAUGACAAAAACAACCUGAGGAUUGAUUAUAAACAUUGUUUGACAUGUUUCUACGAACCUUUAUGAUUUUUCGUCUGUCUGUUGUGACCACGGUUUGUUCCAAUGGAUUACUGAACAAAAUGGAGGAUUUUGGACAUAAAAAGGGACAUUAUCGACCAAAAUAAACAUUUAUUGUCUAACAUGGAGUCUUUGGAGUGCAACCAUAUGAAGAUCAUCAAAUGUCUGGAUAUGAAUGUCUCUGGGCUCUACAGUGCAACCUGCAUACCGCCAGCUGCCAGCCAGGGCCCGGAUUCCCAAAAGCAUCUUAAGGCUAAGUUCAUCAUUAGAGCCGUGAAACCACAAACAGUAUUUGCCAAUAUCAUAACUGGAGCUGGACAUCUUUGGAGCUGAAGAUUGAGGCCAGCUUUUGUAUACUAACGUAAUGAGUAUUUCUGUUUUUGAAUUUGGCACUCUGCAAUUUCACUGGAUGUUGGCCAGGUGGGACGGUAGCGUCCCACACCCCUAGAGAGGUUAGUGAAGGAAACUCCAAUUCCCUUUGGAGUUUAACUAAGUCAUAGGCCCGCCCCAUGAGCACAGACACUGAUCUGGCAUCAUGGGACAGCUCUUUCCUACUGUUCUGGAUAUAACCCCCACCGUGGGAAUUUCCCAGUAGACCAAUCUUACCUCGAUUACCGAG